ACGUGGUAUAGGUGUCUGUAUACGUGUCUGGCGCUGGCAAGGAGGCAUAUCCUCCUCUUUUCCUCUCUUCCACGAUGUAUCAACUGGUACCUGCUGAAUCACGACCAGGCGGCGAUUGACUGAAGAAUCGACGAGGCACGACCACUGAUGUCGGAGGCUGCUGGAAGAGACGUCGGCGUCUUUCGUCCUGAUGGAGCGCAUGCUCCCAUAUCCAGCAAAUAGAAAGAAGAUGACGGGGUAGACUGUAGAAGAAGGGGUAAAGGUCGAUGUGGCGCUGUUGUAGGCGGAGAUCUUACACUUUGGACUUGAAGCCAAGCUGCAUAUGUCCCUCGGAGUGACCACCAUGACCCAGCUUCGACAUGGUGGUCUUCCAAGCGACGCACCCGUAGCAGAAGACCAACAGAGGAAUGGCGCCAUGGUGUUUUUGUAGGUGUGCCCUACUGUGAGGACUUCGUUUCUUUGACAAAGAGGCGCCCCAACAGCCCUUGCUAGACGCCAGAUAACCGGCACGCUAUCCACUGGAGAUUCGGUGCUCCGGUAUCACAAAUCCUGUCAAUUAUACGGAAAGUCAGUCUUCGAAUCAACCAUUCAAGUCAAAAAUGUGAGUUGGUCUUCUGCUAAAAGGUUACAGUUAAUUCAUCAAGAUGGUUGAAGAACCAGGGCAAAGUUUGGAAGAAACACGGGCAGUUGCUUGAUCAAAGAAGAGAAAGAGAGAGAACCAUGAGAUUGAAGAGGCCGCUGCCCGUCUGGGGCAUAUCUGGAUGCCGGC